UUGCACAGGUGCUGCAUGGCUGUCGUCAGCUCGUGUCGUGAGAUGUUCGGUUAAGUCCGCUAACGAGCGCAACCCUCGCUGUGUGUUAUAUGUGUCACACGGGACUGCCGGUCUUAAGCCGGAGGAAGGUGGGAUGAUGUCAAGUCAGCAUGGCCUUUAUAUCCUGGGCUACACACACGCUACAAUGGCCAACACAAUAGGUUGCUAAGCCGCGAGGUGGCGCCAAUCCAUAAAGUUGGUCUCAGUUCAGAUUGUAGGCUGCAACCCGCCUGCAUGAAGAUGGAGUUGCUAGUAACCGCAGGUCAGCUAUACUGCGGUGAAUACGUUCCCGGGGCUU
rnacentral:rRNA from 1 species